AUUGAACGCUGGCGGCAGGCCUAACACAUGCAAGUCGAGCGGAGCGGCGGACGGGUGAGUAAUGCCUAGGAAUCUGCCUGGUAGUGGGGGAUAACGUCCGGAAACGGGCGCUAAUACCGAAUACUAUCAGAGGCGCAUAGGUCGGAUUAGCUAGUUGGUGGGGUAAAGGCCUACCAAGGCGAAGAUCCGUAACUGGUCUGAGAGGAGGAUAAGUAACACUGGAACUGCGACACGGUCCAGACUCCUACGUGAGGCAGCAGUGGGGAAUAUUGGACAAUGGGCGAAAUCCUGAUCCAGCCAUGCCGCGUGUGUGAAGAAGGUCUUCGGAUUGUAAAGCACUUUAAGUUGGGAGGCGUUACCAACAGAAUAAGCACCGGCUAACUCCGUGCCAGCAGCCGCGGUAAUAC
rnacentral:rRNA from 1 species